AUAAUCGACUGAGCCAGCCAGGCUCCCCGAGCCACUGCUUUUUAAUUAGGGCUGAUACUAGACGAACGAGACGCUGGUGGCCGGUCUCCAGGGAAAUGUUGCGGCGGCUGUGACACUCAGCCGGGUGGCCAACACUGGGGUAUCAAGUGGGUGUUGCAUCACUGAGCCCACAUCCGCCUUGUCUGCUGCAGGGAGACCGGACACGUGUGUCAACGUACGUGGAACCAAAUGCAGCAGCCAGUGCAGGCUGUGCUGGGCUCACGGUCCCAGUUGACGUAUGCCACACCUUCCUUCCGUGCACUCUUGGGGGCUGACACACUCACACCCAUGCCCUCACCUCCACUCAGAGCUCCUGUCUGCAGGCUGCUCCACACCCAGAAAGUCACGCACACAAGCUCUCGUGUCCCGCAUACAGCCCUGUUCUACAGGGAGCCCGAUACCAGCUCACACACACCUCUUUCUCUCUCCGGUGGACCUUUCCAUACGUGGGGCUGCUUUUCAAGUACAAAGACGCCCCAGACUAUUCAGGCAAGCUGUCUGAGGCCGACCUUGAACAAAGACGAGGACCACACGUUUGCUCUGAGUCGUCCCCGCAGGUCCGGAUGGCCAGCUCUGCUCGGACCACGCCCCGCUGGCUCCUGGGGAGUCUCAGAGAGCUGGCCCCGGCCCACGAGAGAGGGAGGAAGUCGCUCCUCUUUUGGAGGGACAGGAAAAGAGCUUUCAUCUACCUGAGAUUAAAUUAUAGCCAGGAGGCACCUCUGAACAGGACCAAACUAGAUAACUGAAAACAUGCAGGCCUACUAUAAAUUCCCAGGAUUUGCAGUCUUUCCUGGACUGCUUUAUCCUUGAGAAGCUCUGGGAGCAAUUCUGUUUGAAAGAGAUCUAGGGGCUCCGUGUGAAAGGGUACGGGCUUCUGGUUAACAGAACGCUUGUUAGCAGAAACCCCCCAGCGCAGAUCCUCGAAUCUUUACUCCCCGCCUGGCCAGGGGCCCCUGGAGACCAGAGAGGAUCCUUCUCUGCCUGGAAGGAGCCAACGAUCCACCCCUGCCCUGUCGCCAGACCUUGCCGGCCCUCGGAGUGACAGGCCACGUGUCCAGGGCCCUACAGCCUUGGACUCAAGCCCUGCUCUGCUCAAGCAGGGUGGGUACUGGCUGGUGGUCAGGGCAAAUCACUUCUAGGAAUGGAAAACGGGGUCCCAAACACCAAAGAUCUUAGAAGGGACUCUGACAUCACAGGGAAUUUGUUGCUCCUCCCUGCCCCCACACCCUGACCUUGACCCUCCCCUCAAAGAACCCAGAGCACAGCUGCAGGAGUCAAAUGAAUCCUAAUCAUAAGGACCAACGAGCGAGAGAGCCAGAGGUGAAAACUUGCUAACUGACAGUCUGUGGGCGCACUUCUGUCCCCCGUCUCUCACCAGGAGGCUUGCCGUCUGGGUGGAAAUAAUGAUUUGAUUUUUUAUCAUUGAUGAGCUCAUGUCUCUCACUCUUCCGCAGCAACCAAAGAAGAAUCUGGUAAGUUUAGAAGACUUUGAAGGAGGGGGGCUUUCCUUUUUGGGGAGACAGCACGGAGCUCAACAGAAGCUGGGGUUCCUUCUCUCUUGUCAAGAAGCAAGAGUGGGAUUGGCCCAAGUCACCUACCAACCUUGGCCCCCAACCCCCCUCCAAGAACAUACAAAGCAGGGCAGGCUCAACGCCCUCUGUCCCAGGAUGAAGCAAGCUGGCCAGUCAAGGCUGCCAGGCUCUGGGAUCCUCACCGCUGUCCUUCUAGCUGAGUCCCCCACCUCUCAUCUGGGACUGGGGCCUCUCGACCCUUGACCUCACCCCUCCCCCAGCCCAGCAGCUUUGCUCGACCCCUCUCAUGGCUUCAACUUCCCACAGACUGCCUGUUCCCCCUGCACACCCCUGCUCAGUGACUGGCCUUUCUGGACGAUGCCCACAGCUCAGGAGAUUGAAUUCAUUCAUAUUUCCAGGUGCUAUACAUUCAGAUGAAGUUCUUCGGAUCUCCUGCCCAGAAAAGGAUAAAUAUUUCUGAUCUAUAGCAAAUGUGUUUUCCUUUAGCUAACAUCUUGGCAGGCAAGUACACUAAUCUCCCAGGAAAAUCUAGGGCCUGAAUAGCAAGCAGGUUUUUUUUUUUCCCUGAGUAAAUAGAAAUUCUGAGUUGCUUUUUUAAUGCUGCCUUUUUUUUUUUUUUUUAAACAGCAGAUCUGGAGAAAAAUCACAGUCCAUUAAAUCUGCAUCUCUUGAAAGAAAAACCCAGAAGGCCACCUCCCCAUCAAAGGCAAAAUGAACAGAGUUUGGAAGUGUGUUUAAAAUGCACCAAGGGAGCAGCGGCCGUCCUAAAUUACCCCACUCAGCCUCAGGAUGCUAGGGGUUGCCAGGAUCCCUAUGAGACAGAGAAGGAAAGGCCGGUGCCAUGUGACCCCAAAGCCGAGCAAAGAGCACACACAGCAAGACCGCAGACUCCCCACAACAUCCUCACAUCACAUUCCUACAUUUUACGGGCUCCUUCUGUAGCCAGACUUAGAUCAGGAAGUGGCCAAGAGGACAAACUCUUCCCCAGCCAUUCCUUGGAGAAGGAGGCUAUGCUUUCCAGUAAUAAAACAAAGGUCAGAGAAUGACUUCGAACAAUAGAUCCGCUGUCGUGUGCCAGGCGCUGGGCAACACCGAGGAGCAGGUGUUUUCCUCCCCAUUUUACUGCCGUGGAAAGUUCUUUCCAUCCCAUUUCCUGCCUCCCGAGCUGCCUUAGGCUUCUGUGAGCCAGAGGCAGGCGGGCAGACUGCACCUGGUCAUGUGCACACCUGAGCAGAGAAUCCUGGGACUUCAGAAGCCACACUACCCACUUAAGCCCUGCCCAGCCCAGCCCAGGGCAGAACGGGUCUACUGGACCAUCUCCUUCCCUUUACCCAAGCUCAUGGCGAAGUCAGCUUAGCUGUGCCUAUGCUCCAGCUGUACCCAAUCCAGUGAUACACAGGAAAUACCCCUACCCAAGAAGACUUGCUUAGCACCUUUCAGUGGGGGUGACCCACCAUGUUCUCUUUGGGGAGGGAGCCCCAUAGCCAAAUGGGAGAGUGCUCCAUCCAGACAGAGCCCUCCACUCAAUCCCUGGAACCAGCUAGUGGCCAUGAGCCUCUAGCUCGCAGGCUCAAACCAAGCUGGGGGGAAGUCCCACAGCAACAAUGUAGGAAAGAGACUUCAGGGGAAGACACAGAUUCAACCACAGCAUCGGUCUCUGUUUUGUCGGAACACCGAGGGCUCUCCAGAAGGAAGCCCAUUAAGUUUGCAUUUUCCAUCAUGAAGCAAGUAAACAAACCCGAGGAAGAGCUGCCCAUCACUGAGCUGGCUUCCCGACAGGAAAUGGUAUGAGUGACUUCGUUUUUAAACAUUAUUAUCCUCUUGAAAGCAAAAGAUAAAGGACGCCUCGGAGCAGCCAAAUUGCUUUGGCUCAAAAAUCAUUUUAAAUACCAUUUCCUUUAACAAGCCUACUGCCUGGGCAACGGAUCAACACUAUUCAUUUUAACCUUAGUCAGUGG